rnacentral:rRNA from 1 species
CCUGAUAAACCCAAAAGAUCGAAUGGGGAGAUUCAUCGUCAGCUCAUUUUGUAUAUGUAUAAGUUAUGAUGCGGGUUACUACUUGUAGUAUUGCCUGCACAUUCUUAUAUAUUUAGUUGCAAGAUGUUGUCGGCGUGCACUUCUCCCCUAGUAGAACGUCGCGACCUGUUGGGUGUCGGUCUACGGCCCAAGUGAUAGACUUUAAUGUAAUUUAAAAAGCAUUAAAGAUCCUUGGUGUUUUCUGACCGACUACUUGGCAGUAUUCGUAUGGUAUUUAGCCGCUAAAUUUAUUUAAGCGUCCAUAAUCGUCACAAGCGAGGCUAAUUUACUUGAUAGUACGGACCUAGUGCCGUCGUUGGUUUUGGCCAGCUGUUGGUUGUAUGGUAUUCUAGGACUGGCUAAAAUUAAUUACCGGUCGGCGAUGCUACUGCUUUGGGUACUUUCAGGACCCGUCUUGAAACACGGACCAAGGAGUCUAACAUGUGCGCAAGUCAUUGGGAUUUUUUUU